UGCAUCUGCUUCAAGAAGGCAGCCUAUUUAUACAGAUUUCAAGCAGUGCAUGCACGGCCAACUAACAACUAGGGAGCACCAUGCAUCUGGCUCUGAAAUGUCAAUCGCCAUAGACAUUGACUGCAUGCUUUCAUUACCAAGGAGUAGCCAGUGAAGCAUUUUGAAACCCACCUCAAUCCACCACGUGGCAAUUCAGAAUUGGCCUAGGACAAAUCCCCAGCUCAUUCUCCUGGAAAAUCCCGUCUGCCAUUAUGGUGGAGGGAAUUACGAGGUGCUUUGCGAAUGAAUGCUUUGGUUCCUAAUGGGCAAACCCACGAACCAACCUUGACUGAAAUGAUGCCCGCCUCCAUAGCUCCUUGGGCUUGUUUGAGAGAGACUUCGGAUUUGUCCCAAUCCAGAGCAAUUAUUACCUCAGAGGACCUUCGAGAGCCAACACCUCAAUGUUCAAGAAGAUGUCCAAUGACUCCAAUGUCACUCGAAAAUCCUCGACGAGAUCCGAGGUCACCUCGACAAGAUCCGAGGUGAAAGAAGUUGGCUCGACGUCAAUAAAGAUCCGAUCACAAUGAGUUCCACGGCCAC
rnacentral:lncRNA from 1 species